GUCAGGGAGCUAAUAACCAGGAACAAGUUCAAUGCAGUAUUCUCGGGGACAAGAGAAAAGACUUUACACACGACCACGGUUGCGAAGAUGGAAGAGACAUGCCAAGGGGUCCUGAAGCAGGUCCACUUUACACCUUUUUCGGCCUGUUCUCUGUACUGGAGAUGGAGCCUUGCUUUCUUGCUCGGCUGGCUGCUGGCCUGGUUUUUUAGCCUGCCGGAGGCAGCAACAGGACAUUGGAGGACAAGAGGAGAAAAAGAAUCAGAUUCUGAAGAUCAUCUACUUCAUUUUUAGUGCCUGGAGAUUAAGUAGAAAAAUAUAUGGCGAAGCUUUAUUUCACAGAGGUUUAUAGACUUAGGACAU